rnacentral:tRNA from 1 species
UCCCAAGUGGCGCAAUUGGUUAGCGCUUGCGGUACUUAUAAUGCCGAGGUUGUGAGCUCAGUCUCACCUGGGGAA